rnacentral:rRNA from 1 species
GAUGAACGCUGGCGGCGUGCCUAAUACAUGCAAGUCGAGCGAACAGACGAGGAGCUUGCUCCUCUGACGUUAGCGGCGGACGGGUGAGUAACACGUGGAUAACCUACCUAUAAGACUGGGAUAACUUCGGGAAACCGGAGCUAAUACCGGAUAAUAUAUUGAACCGCAUGGUUCAAUAGUGAAAGACGGUUUUGCUGUCACUUAUAGAUGGAUCCGCGCCGCAUUAGCUAGUUGGUAAGGUAACGGCUUACCAAGGCAACGAUGCGUAGCCGACCUGAGAGGGGGCUCGGCCACCCGGGAAAUGAGCCACGUCCCAGACUCCUAGGGGGGGCAGCGUGGGGAAAUCUUCCGCAAGGGGCGAAAGCCUGACGGAGCAACGCCGGGUGAGUGAUAAAGGUCUUCGGAUCGUAAAACUCUUUUAUUAGGGAAAAAAAAAUGUGUAAGUAACUAUGCCCGUCUGGACGGUACCUAAACAGAAAGCCACGGCUAACUACGU